rnacentral:rRNA from 1 species
GACGAACGCUGGCGGCGUGCCUAACACAUGCAAGUCGAACGAAAAGGCCAGGAGUUUGCUUUUCUGAUGAUAGCCGAGGGGGGGAGAGUCACAUGUGGAUCACCUACCUAUAAGACUGGGAUAAUUUCGAGAAACCGGAUAUUAUAGCAGAUAAUAUUUUGAACCGCGUGGGGCAAUAGUGAAAGACGGUCUUUCUGUCACGUAUAGAUGGAUCCGCGCUGCAUUAGAUAGUUGGUCAGGUAACAGCUUAUUACGGCUAGGAUGCGUAGCCGACCUGAGAGACUGAUCGCCGACCCGGGAGGUGAGACACGGUCCUGACUCCUGCGAGAGGCAGCAGUAUGGAAUCUUCCGCAAUGGUCGAGAGCCUGACAGAGCAACGCCGCGUGAGUGAUGACGGUCUUCGGAUCGUAAAGCUCUGUUAUGAGUGAAGAACAGAUGUGUAAUUAACUGUGCAGAUCUUGACGGUACCGAGUCAGAAAGCCACGGCUAACUACGUG